GACGAACGCUGGCGGCGUGCUUAACACAUGCAAGUCGAACGGAAAGGCCCUGCUUUUGUGGGGUGCUCGAUUGGCGAACGGGUGAGUAACACGCGAGUAACCUGCCCUUGACUUUGGGAUAACUUCAGGAAACUGGGGCUAAUACCGGAUAGGAUCUCCUGCUGCAUGGUGGGGGUUGGAAAGUUUCGGCGGUUGGGGAUGGACUCGCGGCUUAUCAGCUUGUUGGUGGGGUAGUGGCUUACCAAGGCUUUGACGGGUAGCCGGCCUGAGAGGGUGACCGGCCACAUUGGGACUGAGAUACGGCCCAGACUCCUACGGGAGGCAGCAGUGGGGAAUAUUGCACAAUGGGCGGAAGCCUGAUGCAGCAACGCCGCGUGCGGGAUGACGGCCUUCGGGUUGUAAACCGCUUUCGCCUGUGACGAAGCGUGAGUGACGGUAAUGGGUAAAGAAGCAACGGCUAACUACGUG
rnacentral:rRNA from 1 species